GCGGUAGUGGGCUAGUGGUUCAUGCCGUUGCUUUCCCAUUACUUCACAGUCAUGCUCCGGCAUGCUCCUAGUAACAUGGACAAAGCAGAAAUCGCAGGUUCGAACCCUGCCUGCCGCA